rnacentral:rRNA from 1 species
GAUGAACGCUGGCGGCGUGCCUAAUACAUGCAAGUCGAGCGAACCACUUCGGUGGUGAGCGGCGAACGGGUGAGUAACACGUAGGUGAUCUGCCCAUCAGACGGGGACAACGAUUGGAAACGAUCGCUAAUACCGGAUAGGACGAAAGUUUAAAGGUGCUUCGGCACCACUGAUGGAUGAGCCUGCGGCGCAUUAGCUAGUUGGUAGGGUAAAGGCCUACCAAGGCGACGAUGCGUAGCCGACCUGAGAGGGUGAACGGCCACACUGGGACUGAGACACGGCCCAGACUCCUACGGGAGGCAG